UUCCGUAGGUGAACCUGCGGAAGGAUCAUUACCGAGUGCGGGCCCUCGGGCCCAACCUCCAUCCGUCCCCCACCCUUGUCCUCUACACCUGUUGCUUUGGCGGGCCCACGGGGCCCCUGGUCGCCGGGGGACGCCGUCCCCGGGCCCGCGCCCGCCGAAGCGCUUCGUGAACCCUGAUGAAGAAGGGCUGUCUGAGACUAUGAAAAUUGUCAAAACUUUCAACAAUGGAUCUCUUGGUUCCGGCAUCGAUGAAGAACGCAGCGAAAUGCGAUAAGUAAUGUGAAUUGCAGAAUUCCGUGAAUCAUCGAAUCUUUGAACGCACAUUGCGCCCCCUGGCAUUCCGGGGGGCAUGCCUGUCCGAGCGUCAUUUCUGCCCUCAAGCACGGCUUGAACCCUGAUGUGUGUUGGGUGUGGUCCCCCGGGGACCUGCCCGAAAGGCAGCGGCGACGUCCGUCGGUCCUCGAGCGUAUGGGGCUCGUCACUCGCUCGGGAAGGACCUGCGGGGGUUGGUCACCACCACAUUUUCUAUUAUGGUUGACCUCGGAUCAGGUAGGAGUUACCCGCUGAACUUAAGCAUAUCAAUAAGCGGAGGAAAAGAAACCAACCGGGAUUGCCUCAGUAACGGCGAGUGAAGCGGCAAGAGCUCAAAUUUGAAAUCUGGCCCUUCAGGGUCCGAGUUGUAAUUUGCAGAGGAUGCUUCGGGUGCGGUCCCCAUCUAAGUGCCCUGGAACUUGUGUGUU
rnacentral:rRNA from 1 species